AUUAAAAGUAAUUGUGGAGGUGAAACAGCUUCAGGAACAACUCAGAAAACACAAAGUAAUUAUUAUAUUGUAGGGAAAAUGUUUUAACCGGCAGCAGUUUUCUGAUGUUGCAGUUUGAGACAUGAACCAGGAAGAGGAGCUGCUCCUGAGACACCACCACCAUCAUCAUCAUCAUCAUCAUCAUCAAGUCCUCCACACUAAAACAACACAUCACUAUGGUCAGAGUGACGGAGGUCAAAUCUACAGACGUCACUUUGUGCAAAAAUAUAUUCAAACGUUUAUCUGAAGAUAAAAUGA